rnacentral:rRNA from 1 species
AUUGAACGCUGGCGGCAGGCCUAACACAUGCAAGUCGAGCGGAUGAAGGGAGCUUGCUCCUGGAUUCAGCGGCGGACGGGUGAGUAAUGCCUAGGAAUCUGCCUGGUAGUGGGGGAUAACGUCCGGAAACGGGCGCUAAUACCGCAUACGUCCUGAGGGAGAAAGUGGGGGAUCUUCGGACCUCACGCUAUCAGAUGAGCCUAGGUCGGAUUAGCUAGUUGGUGGGGUAAAGGCCUACCAAGGCGACGAUCCGUAACUGGUCUGAGAGGAUGAUCAGUCACCCGGGAACUGAGAAACGGUCCAGACCCCUACGGGAGGCAGCAGGGGGGAAUUUUGGACAAUGGGCGAAAGCCUGAUCCAGCCAGGCCGCGUUGGUGAAGAAGGUCUUCGGAUUGUAAAGCACUUUAAGUUGGGAGGAAGGGCAGUAAGUUAAAACCUUGUUGUUUUGACUUUACCAACAGAAUAAGCACCGGCUAACUUCGU